rnacentral:sRNA from 1 species
CAUCACCACCAUCAUAUAUCCUAGUCUUUCAGGAGAUGUAUGCAUGCCUGGGAGACUAAACUCCCCGGCGUUUUAAUCGUAAACAAGACAGAUUUUAACCCUCGGGAGUCACUGGACUACCGAGGGUUUUUU